GGGCCGGUGGUCUAGUGGUAUGACACUGCGCUUACAACGCAGAGGUCGCAGGUUCAAUACCCAAUUCCUUUCU
rnacentral:tRNA from 1 species